rnacentral:tRNA from 1 species
AUUUAAAUAGUUUAUUUAAAAUAUUGAUUUGUGGUGUCAAUGAUAUGAUUUUGUCAUUUUAGAUC